rnacentral:rRNA from 1 species
GACUGUGCAAAGGUAGCAUAAUCAGUUGGCUUAUAAUUGAAGUCUUGUAUGAAUGAAUAAAUGGGUAGCAACUGUCUUAAUAUAUUUUUAUGAAUUUAGUAAGCAAGUGAAAAUACUUGUUCAUAUACAAAAGACGAGAAGACCCUAGAAACUUGCGCGUAUUUUUGUUGGGGCGACAGGAUUACAAUAAACUAAUCUUAUUUUACUAGACGUAUAGCAGAAAGAUUAAGUUACUCUAGGGAUAACAGCAUAAUUUUAAUAGUUUGUGACCUCGAUGUUGGACUAGGUACAAAACUCCUUAGAAGGGAGUUAAUAUGCUCUGU